rnacentral:misc_RNA from 1 species
AACGCACAUUGCGCCUCUCUUUACCGGGAGGCAUGCCUGUCUGAGCGUCAUUUAAACCAAUGAACAAAUACUUUGUUCGUAUUGGGUUUCGCCUUCGGGCGUUACCUUAAAACAAUUGGUCUAGAUUAGCGGACGAGAUCCUUUAGGACUAACCGCAAAUCAAGCAAUCCAAAUAAUUUCUGAUUUUGACCUCAGAUCAGGUAGGGACACCGCCUGAACUUAA